rnacentral:rRNA from 1 species
ACACAUGCAAGUCGAACGGAGAAAAUAGCUUCGGUUGUUUUCUUAGUGGCGGACGGGUGAGUAACACGUGAGGAACCUGCCUCUGAGAGUGGGAUAGCUUCUGGAAACGGAUGGUAAUACCGCAUAACAUAGCGAAACCGCAUGAUUUUGCUAUCAAAGUAUUUCGCUCAGAGAUGGCCUCGCGUCUGAUUAGAUAGUUGGUGAGGUAACGGCUCACCAAGUCGACGAUCAGUAGCCGGACUGAGAGGUUGAACGGCCACAUUGGGACUGAGACACGGCCCAGACUCCUACGGGAGGCAGCAGUGGGGGAUAUUGCACAAUGGGGGAAACCCUGAUGCAGCGAUGCCGCGUGGAGGAAGAAGGUUUUCGGAUUGUAAACUCCUGUCGUAAGGGAAGAGAAAGGACUGUACCUUACAAGAAAGCUCCGGCUAACUACGUGCCAGCAGCCGCGGUAAUACGUAGGGAGCGAGCGUUGUCCGGAAUGACUGGGUGUAAAGGGAGCGUAGGCGGGAUGGCAAGUCAGAUGUGAAACCUGAGGGCUCAACCUUCAGACUGCAUUUGAAACUGCUGUUCUUGAGUGAAGUAGAGGUAAGCGGAAUUCCUGGUGUAGCGGUGAAAUGCGUAGAGAUCAGGAGGAACAUCGGUGGCGAAGGCGGCUUACUGGGCUUUUACUGACGCUGAGGCUCGAAAGCGUGGGGAGCAAACAGGAUUAGAUACCCUGGUAGUCCACGCUGUAAACGAUGAUUACUAGGUGUGGGGGGAUUGACCCCUUCCGUGCCGCAGUUAACACAAUAAGUAAUCCACCUGGGG